rnacentral:tRNA from 1 species
GCCUGGGUGGCUCAGUCGGUUAAGCGUCUGACUUCGGCUCAGGUCAUGAUCUCGCAGUUCGUGAGUUCGAGCCCCGCGUCGGGCU